UACGGGGGGGGCAAGCGUUGUUCGGAAUUACUGGGCGUAAAGGGCUCGUAGGCGGCCAACUAAGUCAUACGUGAAAUCCCUCGGCUUAACCGGGGAACUGCGUCUGAUACUGGAUGGCUUGAGUUCGGGAGAGGGAUGCGGAAUUCCAGGUGUAGCGGUGAAAUGCGUAGAUAUCUGGAGGAACACCGGCGGCGAAAGCGGCCAUCUGGACGAGGACUGACGCUGAGAUGCGAAAGCGUGGGGAGCAAACAGG
rnacentral:rRNA from 1 species